CAAGCUGAGCCAGUUCCGUCAGCCCCGUUUUACGGAGGAGGAGCCCGGGGUCCCCAGAGCUGCAGCGAAGUGUCGGAGAGUCCGGCUGCCCUUGUCUUUCCAGCCCCGUUUGGUCACGGCUUCCCACCAUGGCUAGUCUAUAGGCGGUCCAUCUUCCUUUCUUGAUUCAUGCAACCCUUCUGAUACUUGAAAGUGGUUCUUUCCUUCGAGAAUCUUCACUUGAACCAUCCCAGGAUGUAAAUCUCCCAAUGAAGAGAUACCUAAAUGCUAGAGCAUUGGAAGCCUUGAGUGUUGUUCUUACCAGGAAAUCAAACUGGAGGAAAAAGACAUAUAACUGUGAAUAGAAGACCUCAUAUUUACAUAAUUGUUUAUUACUUGCAUUUUACUCAAAUUCUCAGGAGCUCUUCGAACUAAACACAGGAGGAAAGCUUUCAGAAAUCGGGAACUAAACACCGAUGCUGGUGUGUGACAUUUGACCUGCUCCCCUCUGUAUCUGAGUUAUUUGUGCCUUUUCUCAACUCAUUAAACUCUA